UACGUAGGUGGCAAGCGUUGUUCGGAAUUACUGGGCGUAAAGGGCGCGUAGGCGGCCUGUUAAGUCGAACGUGAAAUCCCCGGGCUCAACCCGGGAACUGCGUCCGAUACUGGCAGGCUUGAAUCCGGGAGAGGGAUGCGGAAUUCCAGGUGUAGCGGUGAAAUGCGCAGAUAUCAGGAAGAACACCCGUGGCUAAGGCGGUUCUCUAGUACGGUACUGACGCUGAGACGCGAAAGCGUGGGGAGCGAACAGG
rnacentral:rRNA from 1 species